CCCAGGGUGAUAACAAAGAGCAUGAGGAGACAAGUGAGCUCACAAAAGGAGUCCCGGGAUAUGGUUAUAACAACAAACUCAUCUUGACAAUAUCUGUGACUGUAGUGGCGAUGAUUUUGAUUAUAAUUUUCUGUGUGAUUCAGAUUUAUUCCCAUAAAACAGCACCACAAGAUGAUGAAGAAAAGUCCUUAAGGAGCUGUUUCGGGUUUCUGUGUAGGAGAAGCUCAACGGAAAGUGAAAAUCAGGAGGGCUUUUUCUGGUAAAGGUGGCCACUUUGGCUUAGAGAUACGUACAGACCUCUCAAUGCCACACGUAAGAAAAACAUGGCACAGA